rnacentral:rRNA from 1 species
UACCCGGUCCCAUCCCGAACCCGGAAGUCAAGCCCCUCUGCGCUGAUAAUACUGCUCCCUUCGGGAGUGGGAAGGUAGGUCGGUGCCGGGC